ACUGCAUGUAUCUGCUUAAGGACCCCCAUAACUUAAAUGUGGAUGUACUUGCUUUGUUCCUGAAAAGUAAGUGCUUCCAUGUUUUGGUGAUGGUGAAUCCUUUUUUCCCCCUCAUCUGAA
rnacentral:pre_miRNA from 10 species